CCCAAAUUGAAUUAGAAACCCUAAUUCCCAAAUCCCAGAAACCCUAACCCUAACUCCCUCACCCCACUCAGCCGCACCCCCAGUUUCCCCCCUUUCCUUUCCUAAACGUAAAACUCAUUCACACAGAACUGAAGAAGAAGCACACAGAAAGAGUGGGAUCCGAGAGAAGAGGGAAGAGUGUCGCCGGAGGGGGCUUGGCACCGUCGCCGCCUCCGUUCGUCGGGCCCUGCUACGCCGUCACCACCAUCCCCAGCGUCGCCCAGCCUUACCCACGCUUCUGUGUCUACUGUAAGCCGUUCGUGGAGCUGCGAAGAGCAUCAUCGUUGCGCCCAACCCGUUUCGCUGUCGUCGCUGCUAGCGCUCAUCGCAUGAAGCAUUGCCGUCGCUGUCAGAGAUCGGUGUUCCCUCACCGUUGCUGCGUCGCUGUCGAUGAAGCUUCUAUCACCGCCGUGAAUUACGAACAGAGGAGAGUGAGAGAGGCCGAAGAUGCGAGAGAUAAGAGGUGAUGAAUGAUGUCGUCCCUGAAGCCUUGGCCGUCGCUACCAGAGGUGUGGAGGAAGGGAGGUAGAAUCGCGAGAUAGAGGAUGCACUGUGACUAUCAUUGCUGCCGCGAGUGUGGUCCACCAUGAAGUUGCACACCACCAUCGCCAUCGGAAAUCACUGUUGGAACUACUACUAUUUUGCUGCCACUGAGGUCGUUGGUGCUUGUCAAGAGUGCUAUUCUGGUUCUGAAUUGAUUAGUUCAUGCCACUGCUGCUGCUAAGAAGUGAUCAGAAAUGCCACUGCUGUUAGUUCGGUUCAAGGUUAUUGUUGCCACUGCGAAUUAAAAAUAAAAGAAGGCUGUGUUGUGUUUGAUUAUCAAAUUCCAGCUAGUCGAGUGACACAGGUUCGAAGCCUCAGUUUGAAGCUGCGGGCGAUUAUAGUAUUUAUUUAUGAGAUAAGUUUUUGAGUUAGGUUAUUUUCAUAGAAUUCCCUCGCCCUUGUUACUUUAGUUUUUAUUUUAUGCAGAGGGAUAGGAGUUGUACCUGAAUUUUAUUUAAAUUCUUUUGUUUAAUAUUACUAUUAUUAAUAAUUAUGUGAUUAUUAUUACUUGGUGAUGUUUGCUAUAUGAUUUUAAUUAAUAAAAACAAAAAUUUCUGGU